rnacentral:tRNA from 1 species
GCCUGGAUAGCUCAGCUGGUUAGAGUGUGGCGCUGAUAACGCCAAGGUUGCUGGUUUGAUCCCUGUAUAGGACA